rnacentral:rRNA from 1 species
CGCAAGCCUGACGGAGCAAGACCGCGUGGGGGAGGAAGGCUCUUGGGUUGUAAACCCCUUUUCUCAGGGAAGAACAAAUGACGGUACCUGAGGAAUCAGCCUCGGAUAACUCCGUGCCAGCAGCCGCGGUAAUACGGAGGAGGCAAGCGUUAUCCGGAUUUAUUGGGCGUAAAGCGUCCGCAGGUGGCAGUUCAAGUCUGCUGUUAAAGACAGUGGCUCAACUACUGAAAGGCAGUAGAUACUGAAGGACUAGAGUGCGGUAGGGGCAGAGGGAAUUCCCGGUGUAGCGGUGAAAUGCGUAGAUUUCGGGAAGAACAUCGGUGGCGAAAGCGCUCUGCUGGGCCGCAACUGACGCUGAGGGACGAAAGCUAGGGGAGCG